AGCGAGGGCGGCUGCUGCUGCCUCCUCCUCCUCCUCCUCCUCCUCCUCGAGGGCAGUGACUUCCACCGGGCCGAGGAACGGAGAAACGGCGGCGGGCUCCGCAGAAAACUCCAAAGAGACGGAUUCCCGGCGAGCCAGGAGAGAGAAAUGAGAAAGCUUUUCAGAGCCACCCCAAGAUGGCAAGCAGAACAGGAAACGACCUCUCAGAUGUCCACGGCCACUGUGUGCUGUUGAAACAAGUCUCAAGGGAAGUCCCUUUCCUGACUGGUAAGACCUCCGACUCCUUGGCGAGAGGGAGAGUCAGCCCUCACGUUACCCAACAGGCCGAGGAUUAUUGGAACCCCAUAGGUGUUUGAACUGGGGUAAGUCCCUGAUGGAGCCCUCUCCCCUCCGUGAGUCACUAGGUAAUGUGAGAAGAGGAAACUGCAGGGUGCCCGGCAGAACCCUACUAAUGGGAAAGCUGGGUGAGUCACUGAGCGGGUCCCCUUUCCCCAGACCUACAUCAUCACUCAGUAAAGGAAAUCCCCAAUACUGUUCUGACCCUCAUUAAAAAGUCAAGAGUUGGCAAGGCCUCUUCCACCUAGCCUCCGUCUUCUCUGCCCUUUCUGUGACUUUUUCCCCCACUGCUGCUUUGUUGUUGACGGUCAUCAGCUUUUCCCUGACUUGAUGACAGCAAAAUGAAGAGGGGUCCCCCAUCAAAUUCCCUGGGCUUAGGCCUCGCCUGACCAGGCCCUGCGUUGAGCACUGAUGGCAUCUAAAUAGAUAUUUGAAAAUUAAAUGGUCCCCUCACCAUCCCGUUCCUUUCAGAAUUACAUCCUUUGAAAAAAGUGCUUAUAUUGGUUUCAUGGCCAUGCUUUGCAAACAGCAUGGAGACCUAAAUUUUCAUUUUGCCCUUCAGAUUUCAGUGACUAAAAACACAAAUUUGUUAGUAAACAGUGUUUGAUGUGCUCUGAGCACAAAAUACCAUGUAACCUGCAUGGUUGUAAAAACUUAUCUGAUCAUUGUGUCGUUAAUAAAUCAUAUGCUACCUCUAGUUCCCUGUUUCCAUCUGGGGUCACAUGUCUCAGUUCUGUUCCAUUGCAUUUGAUAUGAAGAAGUCUAGUAAUACAUCUUAAAAAUCACCCCCUCAUCCUCAUACCCUUCUCAUAAAACUUUCUCUGUGUAGAAUAAAAAGUAAAACUUUAUAGAUCUAAAAAUUUGGAAAUUUCCUUUCCUUGAAAAUUACAAUAGGAUCACAAAACAAAACAUACAGAUGUAGUAGUUUGUAGAAUUCCCUUAUAUUAUAAUCAUAUAUCACAUUUCCUAGUCACUUGAUUAAAAUUUCACAAGAACCCAGAUUCAACUACACAAUUGUGUAUAUUAUGCAAUAGAGUGGCAGUUUUUACAUUGGUGGUGUGUUCUUUAACCCCUCCUGGACCUGUUUAGGCACUUUGUGAAUUGUGUAGCUGGAUCUGUUCUAAAUGAAAGAGGUUCAAAUAUCAACCACUGAAAAGGAAUUAAGUAAACUCAUACAAAACACAGGAACAUGUUGUCACAAAACCUACAGAAUCUUUGGCAUUAUAAUACUAUUAAGGCAGUUAAAAUAAUUUUAGUCACACAUAUAUUGUGAGGAACCUGCUAAACAAACACAAAAUCUGAAAGGAAAAUUUCUAAAGCACUUCAAGUAAUAAGACCGAAAAAAAAAAGUUUAGACUACAAAUUAUUUUUGCCCUACCUUGGGAUCAUUCAUUAUAAUGGAGAAUUGAUAGUGGUGAGAAACAGCAAUGACCUCAUUUGUGCUGAAAUUAUAAUCAAAUUGUGUUUCAUUAUGUGUCAAUUUUGACCCUAUGAAUAUGUUCUAGCAAAUAUUGUUGAAGGCAAAAUUAGUUUCUGUACUGUUUGCCAUCAGGUUUAGAACACUGUUUUUCCUUACAUCUUCCAAGGUACCUAAAUCUUAUAACCAGGCAUCUAAUACACUUGGCUGAAAUACUUCUGUAUUUUAUGAGUUGAUCAGAGUCAGGGUUUUCAUCCGAAAUCUGAGAGACCUCUUUCAAGGUCUAGCAUAUUUGCCAAGUCCUGAGCUACAGUGCAGUCAGCUUAAAUCUGGAGGACUCAGUGGGCAGUGAGAAAGAAGGUAAAUGUCAAUGAAAUUCAAAGGAUGGAUUAGGGAGGAGAAAUUUUAAUGAGAAAAUAGAAACCCCUGAGCCCAUUAAACCAAGAAAAGAAGAAAAAUGAAAGAUAUUGUCUCUCAAUCACUCCAAUAAUAGGCAAGUUAGGGGCAGGCGCUGUGGUGCAGCAGGUUAAAGCCUCAGUCUGCAGUGCUGGCAUCCCAUAUGGGCGCUGGUUCAAGUCCCGGCUGCUCCACUUCCGAUCCAGCUCUCUGCUAUGGCCUGGAAAAGCAGUAGAAGAUGGCCCAAGUCCUUGGGGCCCUGCACCCACAUGGGAGACCCGGAAGAAGCUCCUGGCUCCUGGCUCCAGAGCAGCACAGCUCCAGCCAUUGCAGCCAUUUAGGGAGUGAAGCAGCAGAUGGAAGACCUCUCUCUCUCUCUCUCUGUCUCUACCUCUCUGUAACUCUGCCUUUCAAGUAAAUAAAUAAAUCUUUAAAAAAAAAAAAUAGGGAAGUUAGACAUAUGCAAACUGUGAGCAAGUCCUUAUUAUACUGGCCCUGAUUCCCCAAAUUAUAUUUGCCAAGAUGCUCUUUCUGCUUUAAUCAUACUGUUUGUUUAGUCUAUUUUGUUAUCCCACUGCAGCUGUGAGAGUAGUUUGAACAAAAGUAUCACGUUGUCUCAAUUUAGGGAGCUUUAACCCGAGGACCAUGGAUUUGCUUCAAGGUAUCUGUGCUCUCCCUUGCAAAUUUUUGCAAGCUUGUACCUUUAUGCAUCUCUUUCCUCGAGAUAAAGGUUAAAAUUUUAGCCUUUGUAAGCUUUCUGAAAGGUCCAUAACCAGAAAAGAUGAAAAACAUUCCUCCCUGUGAAGCAAAUCUAUUCUUCUCCCAGUCCAUGAACAGAUGCCAGCAAUUACACCAAGGGUAGGGGAUACAAAGAUGGUACAAAGAUGAAUCUACUAAGUAAACUCCACCUGACAGGGGAUUUGCCCUGUAAACAAACACCUGCUUCGUGAUGGGUCUUCUGUGAGAGAUCUAUACAGGCAUCUAGAAAUAAAUUCUCUUUUUGCUUUCUUAGCUGAUAACAGAGGAAGAGGAAGGAAUGCCAUGCUAUGCACCACACUCUUUCUUCUCCCACUACCCCUUACAGUUGAUACCUCUUCACUCCAAUCACAAUUCCCUAUGGGGAUUAAAAGAAGUUAGACAGUUGCUGCCAGAGUCCUGACAUAUGAAUGUUGACCGUGUGAUUCAUCAUGGCCAUGAUGUGUUGAUGCAAACAUUCCAAGAAAUACCUGGGCUUCAUUGGACUUUGUCAGUGGAUAGUCAAAGAAACUGAGUAUCUUUGUUUCAGCUUUGCUGAGGAUUAUGGCUGAAUACUUAGGUUAAGAAUGCAUUGAUAAAAUAGUUGAAUUGGUCAUCCAUAACUAAGCCCCAGAACUGAAGGGCUAAGUUGAAGUUAUUGUACAAACUAGACUGGCUUUAGAAAUAACAUUUCCACCUGGGAAGCAUUUGUUUCAGCCAAAUAAGAAAAUGUGGACUGGCCCAAACGUGGGAAAAGGCAUACAAUGGACCUGCCUACGGGUGUUAGAAUCUAAUUAUAAAAUAGAGUUGAGAGUAUUCGUUUAUUUAUUCAUUUCAAUUUUCCACCUGUAAAAGUCCUACUUUGCUUCAAAAUCCAGCUCAGGUAGCACUUCCGUGUGAAUUCAUCCUGUACCCUUCCAAGCAAUGUUAAUUAUUCUCUCCCCUGGAUUCCCAUAGCAUUUUGUUCAAAUUGCUGGCAUAGUGAUCAUCACAAUAAAUUAUAGUUCGUGAGUCUCUCUGUGAUAAAUUGUGAACACUUGAUUGUACAGUGUCUGGAAAGGUAAAAAUUAAUAAAAUGCAACUCUUACCUUAAAUAGCAUAUAAUUGAUUGUGAGCACAUAGCUCUAAAUCUCAGAAUGAAACCAUCAUUGACAUUUUAAUAAGAAUUUGAUACUGGACACAGAGAUUAAUAGAAUGGAAGAAGAAACUGGAAAGGUAAGAACAGAGCAGAGGCAAAAGGCCUUGAACAGUAUACCAAGGAUAUUGUUCUUCAUCCAGUAAGCACUGGGAAGCACUGAAGGUUUUUGAAGAGGGGGCAUGACCACCUGAACAGAGCUAUAUUUUAAGAAAGUAGCAGAGGCACCAGUGUAGGGAGUAAACUGGCAACUGAGAGGCUGGUAAGAGAGACCAGCCAAGAACCAGAAAGGCCCUAAAUAGCGGGGCAGAAAAAAAAAAAAUAGAAGGAAUUGCAUAUGCUAGACAUUGUGGAAGUAGAAUCAAAAGAAUCCAGAAA